rnacentral:rRNA from 1 species
GACGAACGCUGGCGGCGUGCUUAACACAUGCAAGUCGAACGGAACGGCCCUGCCUUUGUGCGGUGCUCGAGUGGCGAACGGGUGAGUAACACGUGAGUAACCUGUCCCUGACUUUGGGAUAACUUCAGGAAACUGGGGCUAAUACCGGAUAGGAGCUCCUGCUGCAUGGUGGGGGUUGGAAAGUUUCGGCGGUUGGGGAUGGACUCGCGGCUUAUCAGCUUGUUGGUGGGGUAGUGGCUUACCAAGGCUUUGACGGGUAGCCGGCCUGAGAGGGUGACCGGCCACAUUGGGACUGAGAUGCGGCCCAGACUCGUACGGGAGGCAGCGGUGGAGAAUGUUGCACAAUAGGCGGAAGCCUAGUGCAGCAACGCCGCGUGCGGGAUGACGGCCUGCGGGUUGUGAACCGCUUUCGCCUGUGACGAAGCGUGAAUGACGGUAAUGGGUGAAGAAGCACCGGCUAACUACGUG